rnacentral:rRNA from 1 species
CCUGAGAGAUGGCUCCCACGUCCAAGGAUGGCAGCAGGCGCGAAAAUUGUCCACUCUUUUGAGAGGAGACAGUUAUGAAACGUGAGUAGAAGGGUCGAGUGUAAAAACCUUGACGUGAAGCAAUUGGAGGGCAAGUUUUGGUGCCAGCAGCCGCGGUAAUUCCAACUCCAAGAGUGUCUAUGGUGGAUGCUGCAGUUAAAGGGUCCGUAGUCGUAGAUGCAAUUAAAAGGUGGUGUUAAAAGCCAUUGAGUUUGUUGAGAGUAGCGGAACGGAUAGGGAGCAUGGUAUAGGUGGGCAAAGAAUGAAAUCUCAAGACCCCACCUGGACCAACGGAGGCGAAAGCGAUGCUCUUAGACGUAUCUGGGGAUCAAGGACGAAGGCUAGAGUAUCGAAAGUGAUUAGACACCGCUGUAGUUCUAGCAGUAAACUAUGCCGACAAUGCUGGGUGUGCGAGAGCG